rnacentral:rRNA from 1 species
GACAGAGGGGGCAAGCGUUGCUCGGAAUUACUGGGCGUAAAGGGCGCGUAGGUGGCGCGGCAAGUCAACGGUGAAAGCUCGACGCUCAACGUCGAGUCGGCCGUCGAUACUGCCGCGCUGGAGCACUGUAGAGGCUCAUGGAAUUCCGGGUGUAGCGGUGGAAUGCGUAGAGAUCCGGAAGAACACCGGUGGCGAAGGCGGUGAGCUGGGCAGUGCUGACACUGAGGCGCGACAGCGUGGGGGAGCAAACAGGGAU